rnacentral:rRNA from 1 species
GGCUAACGCUGGCGGCGUGUCUUAGCCAUGCAAGUCGAGCGGACUUAUGGGGUAACUUAUAAGUCAGCGGCGGACGGCGGAGUAACACGUAGCUAACCUACCCUCUGGACGGGGGAUAACCUACCGAAAGGUGGGCUAAUACCCGAUGUAGUCAUCCUGUAUAGGGGUGAUGAAAGGUGGGCUUCUGUUUACAAGCUCAUGCUGGAGGAGGGGGCUGCGGCCUAUCAGGUAGUUGGUAGGGUAAUAGCCUACCAAGCCGAUGACGGGUAGCCGGCCUGAGAGGGUGACCGGCCCGAGGGGCACUGAGAUACGGGUCCCACUCCUACGGGAGGCAGCAGGCUAGAAAUUUGGCAAUGGGGGAAACCCUGACCCAGUGACGCCGCGUGCAGGAAGGAGCCCUUCGGGGUGUAAACUGCUGUCGUGUAGGGAGAAGGGUACUAAGGUGAACAAUCUUAGUACUUGACGGUACUACAGGAGGAAGCCCAGGCUAACCUCGUGCCAGCAGCCGGACGGUAAAAUAGACGUACU